UUUUUUCACAGUUUAUAGCGCGCUAAUUUCGCUGGCUAAGAAAUGCGUUCAUCAUCAGUUUGGAUAAAAUGCCUAUAAACUCGCUAUCUAUUGCCGUUCGAGGAAUUAAUAUGAGUGUCUGGAAUGCGUGGUUAUGUGCUUGGCGUUUAUUCCUGCUCGUUUCACUGAUUGUCACUGCUAAAACUGCAACUGUCCCAGCGGAUAAGUUAUUGAAGAAAUUCGGCACGAAUGACACAAUGGAUGCAGCGCAAACUACAAAAUUAUUUGAGAGUAUGGGAAUCUCCAAUUGGGAUUACGACGGUUCAAGAGAGGAGGUAAAAUUUUUGGAUAUUAAGAGCGACUGUCCGUAAAAAUCGAGCAAACAGUGG